AUUGAACGCUGGCGGAAUGCUUUACACAUGCAAGUCGAACGGCAGCACGGGGGCAGCCCUGGUGGCGAGUGGCGAACGGGUGAGUAAUACAUCGGAACGUGCCCGGUCGUGGGGGAUAACGUAGCGAAAGUUACGCUAAUACCGCAUACGAUCUGAGGAUGAAAGCGGGGGACCUUCGGGCCUCGCGCGCUCGGAGCGGCCGAUGUCAGAUUAGGUAGUUGGUGGGGUAAAGGCCUACCAAGCCGACGAUCUGUAGCUGGUCUGAGAGGACGACCAGCCACACUGGGACUGAGACACGGCCCAGACUCCUACGGGAGGCAGCAGUGGGGAAUUUUGGACAAUGGGCGCAAGCCUGAUCCAGCCAUUCCGCGUGCAGGACGAAGGCCUUCGGGUUGUAAACUGCUUUUGUACGGAACGAAAAGGCUCUGGCUAAUACCUGGGGCUCAUGACGGUACCGUAAGAAUAAGCACCGGCUAACUACGUG
rnacentral:rRNA from 1 species